rnacentral:rRNA from 1 species
AUUGAACGCUGGCGGCAGGCCUAACACAUGCAAGUCGAGCGGGGUUUUCGGACCUAGCGGCGGACGGGUGAGUAAUGCGUAGGAAGCUACCCGAUAGAGGGGGAUACCAGUUGGAAACGACUGUUAAUACCGCAUAAUGUCUACGGACCAAAGUGUGGGACCUUCGGGCCACAUGCUAUCGGAUGCGCCUACGUGGGAGUAGCUAGUUGGUGAGGUAAUGGCUCACCGAGGCGACGAUCCCUAGCUGGUUUGAGAGGAUGAUCAGCCACACUGGAACUGAGACACGGUCCAGACUCCUACGGGAGGCAGCAGUGGGAAAUAUUGGACAAUGGACGCAAGUCUGAUCCAGCCAUGCCGCGUGAAGGAUUAAGGUCCUCUGGAUUGUAAACUUCUUUUAUAAGGGACGAAAAAAGGUCUUUCUAGAUCGUCUGACGGUACCUUAUGAAUAAGCACCGGCUAACUCCGUGCCAGCCGCCGCCGUAAUAC